AUGAUACGUUAUGUGCCUGUGUCUCUGCUCAUCUCCGACUCAGAGAACCAUUGAAAGGGUAAAAGAUUCUAUACAUCAUAGCAUCUGGAGAGUCUAGCCUGAUAAAAGCGAGGUCUCAGUACACACAAAUGGGAUGAACCGAUAUAGGAGUGCACUAGCAUCGGCUAGACACUGGGUAGUGUUUACCGACUCUGAGGAAGAGGAGGAGGCAGAGGAGGAGGAGGCACAAACAAGCAGCAGAACUACUUACCACAGCGGCGUGCCUUAUAAUAAGACUGGGAUUUAAACCCCUACUUAAACUGACUUGUAUGUUGUGAAUCACACCUAUAAUCCCAGAACUCGGAAGUCAAGAAGCUCUCUGCGAGUUGGAGGCCAGCCUAGCCCACAAAGCAAGUUUUGGGCCAGCCAGGAGUGCAUAGUCUAAAAACCAAGACAAGAGCUGCUAUGUAUAUGACACACGCCUGCAACCCCAGCACAUAGGGGGUGAAGGCAGAAGGAGCAGGAGUUCAAGGUCACCCUAAGCUACAUAUCAAGUUUUAGGCCAAGAUGGUCUACAUAACACCUUGCCUCAGAAGAGCAACCACCACCACUGUAAGACAACAACAACAACAACCGUAAACUCUAAUGUGCAGAUUACAAAACAAAGUUCCAAACAAGGGGAGGGGUUAUUGGAUCCUUCAGACCAGGAGGUCCAGACAUCAGGCAUUCUGAGAUGUAAAAGGAUUUCACCAAAAUGCCCAACUCAGCCAAUAGCAGUAGAUAUGAGAGAGGAAGAUGAAAGCUAUCAAUUUCCAUCAAUUUCCAUAAAUAGCUCCCCAAAUCAUCUCCUUCGUCACAUCAACCAUCACAAAAUAACUGAAAAAUUAGAAGAAAGCACCUACUGCUGGGUACAGAGGACACAAUAACCGAGGGAAAAAUAUUUAGUGUCCCACAAGGAACUUCUUCAUCCUGCCCGGUGGACUGUCCGGUCUCAGAAGUGCUAGUCUGCUGAGUUUUACCUGUCCACUUUUUUAAAGCUUUACCUCUGAGCAGCUCACAUCCUGGGUCUUUCUCACCCCAUCCUCAUUGGCAUUGCUGGUCAUACUCCCUUUCGCCCCUGAUGUGACGGAGCUUCAUGAAUGCAGUGACCAGGAACGCCCUAACAGGGCAGAAGCACGCUGGUGUGGGGUGUGGGAGGCGGGGCCCGGAGCUGCUUGCCUCUUGCUCAGCCUCCUCCUGCUGCAAGGAAAUAAAUGUGAUGACUCUAUGCAAAUA